GCGGGUAUGGCGGAAUUGGCAGACGCACAAGAUUUAGGAUCUUGCGCCGCAAGGUGUGCAGGUUCGACCCCUGUUACCCGCACCA
rnacentral:tRNA from 1 species